GUCUUUCCUGGUCAUAUUCUGAUCAUCUGCAGGCUGCCUCCACCUAUUCCUACGGCGUGAGAACCUCCGUCUGAGGCAGCUGAAAGCAAAAGUGAGAGGGAGCCAGUCCUUGGUGCUGGCUUACAGGUGUAUUAUUGGACAGGCAGCCAUCUCCAUUAAAAGGCUUCUCAAGACCUACAUCCCAUCUUGCCCCCGUUGGUCAGCAAGCAAGCACCACUAGGAGCUCCGUCCUCCAUGUGAGAAGUAUCACUCCAGAUGGUUCUCUUGUGGGAUUCCCGAUGGUGGAAUGAGAUGCUGAACCAUGUCUGGUCAUCAGACUCCCUCUCUACCUUCAAAAAAUGCCUCAAGACCCAUCUGCUCCAUGAAUGCCUCUCCUAACCUGAUUGUUCUGUGCUGUUAUGUUGCAUUUAUUGGGUGUUCAAUAGUCUCAUUAAGUUCUUGGGUAUUCAAUAGUCUCAUUAAUUUCUUGCUUUGUUAAUAGUUAUGUGCAGUUGUACUGCUGUUGUGUAGCUCCUGCUCCAGCACCGCUUACACUUGUACAGCCUGCAAAGUGUAAAAUUCAAAGUCAGGUGUAAGUAACAGCUGAAACAAACACGUUCACACUGGGAGUAGACCUGUAUCACGGCCCCCCCGAGCCUCACCAUUCAUAAGCAAUAACCACCCCCCACUCCCCACACUGUCAGCAGUCUGUUACUCCCAACAGCCGCAAAAUUACAACAACAAGCACCAAGAUUGCUUAAAUAAAUAAAAAAAACAGGUUAGAACUCAUUAAUAACCACAACAACUAAAAAAAACCACAACAUGACCACAUAAACAGAGCAUUACUAUGCACUUUCUGAAAAUGAGGAUACAAGUUAACUCCCAUUUUUUGCAAAGACAUUGAUUACAGGCUAAAUAAUAGAUUUCUACAUAAAAGGCAAUUAUGUACCGGAACACAAUGCACCGAGCAAAAAAAGGUACACGUACGUACAAAGGAUGCUGGUUAUUCUAUGAAAACAGGUUCGUUCAAAACAAUCCUUUCAGAAAUCUGUCCUUGCAACAAUGUAAACAAUGUGACAUUCUUUCUUGUAGUGUGAUCAACUUAGUAGUUUCUCUGUUCUGAGCGAUAUUGUAGCAACUCAUUUCAUUUUUAAACCUUCUACGCAGCUUAUUUAGUUUGUUGUUAUUUAUUAACUACCAAACAACGCAGUAACUUGCAAAGAGAGCAAUAAAUAUUCGCAUUUGCAUACCACA